AACAGGUGAUCGCGGCUGUCGCAAGACAGGUGAGGAAAGUCCGGGCUUCGCAGGGCAGGAUGCCGGAUAACGUCCGGUGGAGGUGACUCCCAGACCAGUGCAACAGAAAAUAACCGCCUCGUAAGGGGCAAGGGUGAAAAGGUGGUGUAAGAGACCACCGGCUGUAUGGUAACAUACAGGCCGUGUAAACUCCAUUCGAAGCAAGAUCAAGCAGAAGGGCUAAGGGCUGCCCGCCCAUCCUUCAGGUAGAUCGCUUGAUGCGGCCGGCAACGGUCGUACUAGAUAGAUGAUCACCCAGAGAGCUUCGGCUCUCGGACAUAACCCGGCUUACAGUUCUGCC
rnacentral:RNase_P_RNA from 1 species